rnacentral:rRNA from 1 species
GGACCUACGGGGCGCAGCAGUAGGGAAUCUUCCACAAUGGACGAAAGUCUGAUGGAGCAACGCCGCGUGAGUGAAGAAGGGUUUCGGCUCGUAAAGCUCUGUUGUUGGAGAAGAACGUGCGUGAGAGUAACUGUUCACGCAGUGACGGUAUCCAACCAGAAAGUCACGGCUAACUACGUGCCAGCAGCCGCGGUAAUACGUAGGUGGCAAGCGUUGUCCGGAUUUAUUGGGCGUAAAGCGAGUGCAGGCGGUUCAAUAAAGCUGAUGUGGAAACCUUCGG